rnacentral:rRNA from 1 species
AAAGCGAGCGGCGGAUGGGUGAGUAACACGUGGGGAACCUGCCCCUAAGUCUGGGAUACCAUUUGGAAACAGGUGCUAAUACCGGAUAAUAAAGCAGAUCGCAUGAUCAGCUUUUGAAAGGCGGCGUAAGCUGUCGCUAAGGGAUGGCCCCGCGGUGCAUUAGCUAGUUGGUAAGGUAACGGCUUACCAAGGCGACGAUGCACAGCCGAGUUGAGAGACUGAUCGGCCACAUUGGGACUGAGACACGGCCCAAACUCCUACGGGAGGCAGCAGUAGGGAAUCUUCCACAAUGGACGCAAGUCUGAUGGAGCAACGCCGCGUGAGUGAAGAAGGUUUUCGGAUCGUAAAGCUCUGUUGUUGGUGAAGAAGGAUAGAGGUAGUAACUGGCCUUUAUUUGACGGUAAUCAACCAGAAAGUCACGGCUAACUACGUGCCAGCAGCCGCGGUAAUACGUAGGUGGCAAGCGUUGUCCGGAUUUAUUGGGCGUAAAGCGAGCGCAGGCGGAAAAAUAAGUCUAAUGUGAAAGCCCUCGGCUUAACCGAGGAACUGCAUCGGAAACUGUUUUUCUUGAGUGCAGAAGAGGAGAGUGGAACUCCAUGUGUAGCGGUGGAAUGCGUAGAUAUAUGGAAGAACACCAGUGGCGAAGGCGGCUCUCUGGUCUGCAACUGACGCUGAGGCUCGAAAGCAUGUGUAGCGAACAGGAUUAGAUACCCUGGUAGUCCAUGCCGUAAACGAUGAGUGCUAAGUGUUGGGGAGGUUUCCGCCUC